AUACGGAGGGUCCGAGCGUUAUCCGGAAUCAUUGGGUUUAAAGGGUCCGUAGGCGGGAAUCUAAGUCAGUGGUGAAAUCUUGCAGCUCAACUGUAAAAUUGCCAUUGAUACUGGAUUUCUUGAAUUAGUGUGAAGUGGUUAGAAUGUGUAGUGUAGCGGUGAAAUGCAUAGAUAUUACACAGAAUACCAAUUGCGAGGGCAGAUCACUAACACUAUAUUGACGCUAAGGGACGAAAGCGUGGGGAGCGAACAGGAUUAGAAACCCUAGUAGUCC
rnacentral:rRNA from 1 species